rnacentral:tmRNA from 1 species
AUAUUCAUUUCUCUCUGUGGUAGAGACGGAGCACCCAACUAGUGUUUUAGCAGAACACUGUAGUGCGCUAUCGAGGUAUGGUACAGAGUACUCACAUGGAUUUCUCUCAUUAAACACAGACUGUGGAAAAUCUAGUGGAGAAUUUGAGAAGGUGGCCACAUAAUGUCUAAAAUUUUCACUGUACUUACUGGCAGAGUGUAGUGUGCCCAAGUAGGCAUUCGGUAGCCUGUUGCACUGUUUCUUGUAUUGGGUAAAGUAAACUGGAUCAUCAGACUUCCAAAAUUCUUCACUGUGACUGGAAACUGUGCUGCGGUAUACAGCUUCAAAGUAAGAUUUUUUUGAAGCUAUAAACAUGGCCACAUUAAGUGAUUUUUUCCCCGAAGCAGAUCCUGUGCUUGAGAAAAAUUACAGAAGGUGUGUGGAUUUGGCAAUUAAUAUGAGCUGGAGCGUGCCAGGCCAAUUUAAAUUGGUGGAGACACCAAUAAAUAGCUUUCUGCUGGUGGGCGAUGUUCUUCCCAACGAUAUGAUAGAGAGUAAACCUGUAAACUCUACUAACCUAGUUAAUAUACCCUUCCCACUGUCUACUCUUGGUGUUUCCACCUCUAAAAAAUCUGUAGAGGUUACCUCAUAUAAAUCAGAGACUGAAAAAUUUCAGGAGGCUGCCUCCAUCAGUGAGCACAGCAUACGUGGCAGUAUAGUAUAUGAAGGACUUACCUGGAUUACAGCCAUGGGCUAUAAUGUGACCGAUUUCCUAGUGAAUAUGUUGGAGCAGAUGAAGUGCCCAGAAAAUUGGAGCGGCCUUCAUCCUGUGGACCCAUUGGCCUGUGUAUGGCUUCUAUAUUUUGGUCCUAAAUCAAGAUGCUCUGAAAUAGCCUGUGUGUCUGAACUGUUUAUUGGAAAAAAAGGACCUAUUUUGCUCCCCCCUCAUAUGUACAGGGGGGACACUUCAGUGAAUUCUUUUGCCCAUCACCUGUGUCAGUAUGUGAAACAUUUGUAUGCUGAUUAUGAACCAGAAAUCCUUUCCUGCCCUCUGGACAUCACAAGGGUUAAGGGCUGUUUGAGUGAUUUGCGUCAGGUGGCGGAGUCAUGUGUAUUUUUGAGCCAAAGAUGCCUUUUGUGCCACCUAUAUAAACAAAAUGCUGCUGUAUCAAAGAAUAUUUUAACAGCCUCAGACUGUAUAAUCCUUGGGGGAUCAGGAAAAUCCUUACUUGGUACAUAUAUGAAGAGCUAUAAGGACCCUGCCACCCACGACAGCAUUCUUCUUCCCACGUAUAACCUAGAAGCUAUAGUUAACUAUAUUCUGGAACAUUAUGGACACGAAACUGCUGGCCAAGAAAUUAAUUGGGAGUAGUUUAAGGGCAGAUAUUGAAAAAAGAGCAGCAGUGUCUCUUACUGACAGAUUUGGAAAAUCCCACAGUCUUACUCAGUUUCAGUAUACUAAGGCCAAAAGGGCGGAGCGUACUGCUUCUAGUGCCAGGGAACAUUGUCAUAGAAUAGAAAAUAUGGUCAGUACAAAAAGAGAGUUGAGUGAUUGCGUAAGUGAGCUGACUCAUCUUAAAGAGAUAUGCCAAAACUUUUCAGUGGAAGAUGCUGAAAGGCUAAUCGAGGAGACCACGGUUUUAAAAGAGGAGUUGGAAGACACUGUUAACACAGUAUCCGCUGCUCUGCAAAGAGAGGAAUCUCUGUCUGCAGACUCCGAGCAAGAGGAGAGUGAUAUUACUUGUUGGAGGCUCGAUGGAUUACCGACAGUUACCGCGCGUAUUGGGUGAGGAUGGAGAGGACACUGCGGCCUCUUCCUGGAAUACAUUUCUACUUAUGCAAAGUAUAGAGGGGGCUCUAGUUAUUCCUUAUGAAAAAUUUCCAACAAUGGUGUCAUAUAUGAUGUAUGCAGCAAACCAUGUUUCCACUGAAGAUAUGGAUGGGAAGCCAUCGUUUAUUGCACCCCCUAUUUGGGAAAGAUGCUUCCACACUAAAUUCACGCCAGGGGACACCCUUGGAGAAGGUGGCUUUGGGCGGGUUUCUACCAUGGCAUCAGAUGACACGCUCUGCAUAAAAUAUAUCCCAAAAUUGACAGCACUGUACAAGGAGGCUGUGCUGAUGGAUAUCAUUCACCUUACCAGUCUGUUCAAGCCCCAUGGUGCGUCCAAUAAGGUUCUACAGAUGAUGUUUGCGUGUGUAGAAUGCCAAUGCAUCGUGCUUCCAAAAAUGAGAUGUUCUUUGGAUACCUACAGAGAGUGGUCUCCAAACAGUGUUGCUGACACCUUAAGUGGCUUCAGAGGGUUAAUUGAUGGACUGUUGUAUCUAAACUUUACAUGUGGUAUAACACACUGCGAUGUUAGCCCUUCCAAUAUCCUUAUUGGGGCAGGAGGACUUUCAGACAUGGUAUUAUCUGACCUUGGAAUUGCAACAAUUAUAUGUGCGCCCGGCAUGCCUGGAGAAAUACCAAUAUUUUCAAAAAUGCUUGGAAGAGUCACUAACCUAUAUUCAUCAUCAUGUCCCAUGUUUUUUGCCAAAAGAGACUAUAGACCUUCCACCUGCCUGUUUUUGUGUUAUAAGGCCAUAAAGGAGCAAAAAGCUGCAGAAUCCAUUCCAAUGUACUGGAGGACACCACAGGAGGGACUAAGAUUGGACUUGUGCUGUCUUUAUUAUUCCUUUCAGGACUGUCUACUUUGCAUGGCCGGACUUCAAUACAGGGGGCUGGACUUUCUCAAGGUUUCUCCGCCCCCUCCUGACAGGCCUGGGAAAUAUUUAGCUUACAUGAUGCAAAGAACUGUUGUGACUCAGUUCAUAUGUGGAGUCUGGGGCUUGUCUGUUGAAACAGGCUUAGACAUCGACGGAGGAAGCAGCAACAUCCACAUUCCAAGAACUCAUCGGUCAUAUUUUAAAGCUGUGGCAGAAAAGGCUCUGUGUUUGGUACGGCAGCAGUUCACUCCAGAGAAAAGGGUAACAAUUUUAUCUGAAAGUGUUCAAGCUUUCGUUGUGCCUUUUCUAAGAUUGGACUCCUUUAAUCACUGCCAUGGAAGGGUCGAUUAUUCUGGAUUUUUUUGAAAAGGAUGAUUUGUUGGAAGUUCUGGGAAACAUGGCCCGGGAAAAUCAACUAGAAUCACUGGCAACUCUUAAUUUUUCUGCAUUUAUAAGAUCACCCCAAGUUCAAGAGCUCCUGGCAACAUCAAAGACUUCUGUACGUAUUUCUGAUAUGAGGUUGACGUACUAUUACUUUCUGUUUCUCAGACUUAAUGAAUAUAUUGGGAAUACUGCCAUAAUGGGCGUUUUUAAGGACAUGAUGCACCUGACAGACAACAGUGAGGUGUCUGCCGUGUAUGCUGCGUGUCGGGACGUGACCCCAGAUAUAAAGUAUGCAGUGUGCCAGAGAAUAGAAGCCCUGACUAGGGGACAGCAGGAUAAUGAACUAUGGGACAUUCUGCGUGACGGCAUGAUCUCAUCAUCUAAAUUUCAGUGGGCUGUAAAACAACAUAGCAUCAACAAGAAACUGUUUAAUCCACAGCCUAUAAAGGUUAAUCACUAUUUUGCUGGUCCUCUAGCCUUUGGGAUAAGAUGUGAACAAACUGUUAAAAAAAUUUUGAGUGAGCUUAUUCAUCCAAACUUGCCAAGAUUUCAUGAUUGUGGAUUUUUGCCCAGUGCAAUUGAUGGAAUUUUUGGAGUUUCCCUGGACACUGCUUUCAAUGUGUUUACAGAUAGCAGCGGACUUGUGCACUUUGAACCAGAUAGUAUUGUGUAUGAAAUAAAGUCCAGAUAUAAGUACCAGUUUUCAAAAUCUGAAUUUGAUGGUCUGGCCAAGAAAUAUUUGGAUCUCUACAAAAACCCCUGUGAGGCAACUUUUAUCAAGUUCAUAAACUGUAUUUCAAGACCCGCUGUUGAAUAUGUUCCACAUGGAAAACUUCCCUCAGAAAGUGACUAUCUAAUCACCCACUCCAUGAACUGGAAAACCAGCAACAAGAGAAAGCGCAAAAUCACUGAUAGUCAUAUCUGUCUUAAAAAAUGUCUACUUCACAACAUGUAUCAACAAUCAACAGUUUAUAUCUUGUCAGACCCCUCUGAGACUUCUGGAAAAAUCACCAUUAAGGCAUCUUUUCCCAUAGAUGUAUUUGUGAAUCCUGCACACAACUACUUUUACCAGGUGGCGCUCCAAAAUAUGGUUGUUCAAGAUUACAUUGAAUUUGGUCAGGGUGUAUAUAAAAGACUAGGCCAUCAGAAGAAUUUCAUAGCAUCUGGAUUUUUCAGAAAGAGACACUUUUCUGAUCCUGCUGUUUGCUCCAUUGGUAAUUGUGGAAAGUUGGAUACUACAGACGAGAUACCAGUGGCGCUCAUCAUCACUCCUGUUAGGAUUCCAUCUACUGUGCUGCACGAGUACCUCAAGAAAGCAAUUGAUUUUUGGAAUCAGUGUGCUGAGGCAAACUUUGACCAUAUCCCAUGGGGGCAGCUUUCGGAUGUUGCAAGAAAACCCAUAACCCCCUAAAAGAUGUAAGGGGACAACUCAUUGACCUGACAAAGGACUUUGAACUAAUUUCUGAAAACACUGGACUUUUGGUUGAAGACCCCUCUGUUGGUGAGGGGCAUUUAGAGCUUAAACCCAAACCUUAUGGGUCAGACACUGACAGUGAUACAGACAUUGAAUAUGAACGAGGCAAACACGCUUAAUUUGCUUUAAUUACUUUAAUAAAAUGUUUAUAGUUCAUCUUC